CACAUGGGACCCCUGAGACCCCAUAGAGACCACCCAUAAACACCCAAGGGAACCAUAGAGACCCCAUAGGGACAGAUAGGGACCCAUUGGGACCUCAUAGGGACCCAUAGAGACCCAUAGGGACACAUAGAGAUCCAUAGGGACCCAUAGAGACCCCAUAGGGACCCAUUGGAACCCAUUGAGACACAUAGGGACACAUAGGAACCCAUAGAGACCCCAUAGGGACACAUAGGGAUCAUUGGGACCUAUAGGGACACAUUGAGACCCAUAGGGACCCAUAGAGACCCCAUAGGGACACAUUGGAACCUAUUGGGACCCAUAGGGACACAUAGAGACCCAUAGAGACCCCAUAGGGACACAUAGGGAUCAUUGGGACCUAUAGGGACACAUUGAGACCCAUAGGGACCCAUAGAGACCCCAUAGGGACACAUUGGAACCCAUUGGGACCCAUAGGGACACAUAGGAACCCAUAGAGACCCCAUAGGGACACACAGGGACAUAUAGGGACACCUAGAAACCCCAUAAGGACCCCAUAGAGACCCCAUAAACACUCACAGGGGCACAUUGAGACCCCAUAGGGACCCAUAGAGACCCCAUAGGGACAUUUCGGGUCCAAUUUUUGGGGUGACUUUGGGGCCUUUCGGGUUCCAUUUGAGGUCCUUUUUGGGGCUCAUUUGGGGCAUUUCGGGUCCGAUUUUUGGGGUGAUUUUGGGGCAUUUCAGGUCUGAUUCUUGGGGUGAUUUUUGGGGUGAUUUUGGGGCAUUCGGGGUCCUAUUUUUGGGGGUGAGUUUGGGGCAUUUCGGGUCUCAUUUAGGGUCCAUUUGGGGGCUCAUUUGGGUCCUUUUGGGGCUCAUUUGGGGCAUUUCGGGUCCGAUUUUUGGGGUGAUUUUUGGGGUGACUUUGGGGCAUUUCGGGUCUCAUUUGGGGUCCCAUUUUUGGGGGCUCAUUUGGGGCAUUUCGGGUUCCAUUUGGGGUCCCAUUUGGGGGCUCAUUUGGGGCAUUUCGGGUCCCAUUUCGGGUCUCAUUUGGGGCAUUUCAGGUCCGAUUUUUGGGGUGAUUUUUGGGGGUGACUUUGGGGCAUUUCGGGUCUCAUUUGGGGUCCCAUUUUUGGGGUUACUUUGGGGCAUUUCGGGUUCCAUUUGGGGUCCUUUUGGGGGUUCAUUUGGGUCAUUUCGGGUCCCAUUUCGGGGCUCAUUUGGGGCAUUUUGGGUCCCAUUUUGGGGUGAUUUUUGGGGUGACUUUGGGGCAUUUCGGGUCUCAUUUGGGGUCCCAUUUUUGGGGCUCAUUUGGGGCAUUUCGGGUUCCAUUUGGGGUCCCAUUUUUGGGGCUCAUUUGGGGCAUUUCGGGUCCGAUUUUUGGGGUGAUUUUUGGGGUGACUUUGGGGCAUUUCGGGUCUCAUUUGGGGUCCCAUUUUUGGGGGCUCAUUUGGGGCAUUUCGGGUUCCAUUUGGGGUCUCAUUUGGGGUCCCAUUUCGGGUCCCAUUUCGGGUCUCUUUUGGGGCAUUUCGGGUCCGAUUUUUGGGGUGAUUUUUGGGGUGACUUUGGGGCAUUUCGGGUCUCAUUUGGGGUCCCAUUUUUGGGGGCUCAUUUGGGGCAUUUCGGGUUCCAUUUGGGGUCUCAUUUGGGUUCCCAUUUCGGGUCCCAUUUCGGGUCUCUUUUGGGGCAUUUCGGGUCCGAUUUUUGGGGUGAUUUUUGGGGUGACUUUGGGGCAUUUCGGGUCUCAUUUGGGGUCCCAUUUUGGGGCUCAUUUGGGGCAUUUUGGGUCCCAUUUCGGGGUGAUUUUUGGGGUGACUUUGGGGCAUUUCGGGACUCAUUUGGGGUCCCAUUUUUGGGGCUCAUUUGGGUCCUUUCGGGUCCCAUUUGGGGUCCCAUUUUGGGGCUCAUUUGGGGCAUUUCGGGUCUCAUUUGGGGUCCCAUUUUUGGGGCUCAUUUGGGGCAUUUCGGGUCCGAUUUUUGGGCUGAUUUUUGGGAUUUCGGGUCCGAUUUUUGGGGUGAUUUUUUGGGGUGGCUUUGGGGCAUUUCGGGUCUCAUUUGGGGUCCCAUUUUUGGGGUGACUUUGGAGCAUUUCGGGUCUCAGUUGGGGUCCCAUUUUGGGGCUCAUUUGGGGCAUUUCGGGUCUGAUUUUUGGGCUGAUUUUUGGGGUGAUUUUUGGGAUUUCGGGUCCGAUUUUUGGGGUGGCUUCGGGGCACUCGGGGUCCUCUUUUUGGGGGUGAUUUCGUACCGAUCAUGGCGUGGAAGGCGCUGUGGAGGUCGUCCAGCUCCCUCAGCACCCACACGUGUUCCUCGCCGUCCUUUUUGGACGCCAUCGCGUUCAGCACCGCCCGCUCCGAGUGCUGCCCCACCCCGAACACGUAAAUGUCUGCACAUUAAUGGGGGGGGGGGGGGGAGGUCAGAGACCCCCCCUCAAUUAGGGACCCCCCCCAUAGAAGAGGGACCCCCCCCAAAUUAAAGGGACCCCCCCAAAUUAGACGGACCCCCCCCAAAUUGAAGGGAUCCCCCCAAAUUGGAGGGACCCCACCCCGAACACGUAAAUGUCUGCACAUUAAUGGGGGGGGGGGGGGAGGUCAGAGACCCCCCCUCAAAUUAGGGACCCCCCCCCAUAGAAGAGGGACCCCCCCCAAUUGAAGGGACCCCCCAAAUUGGAGGACCCCCCAUAUAAGAGACCCCCCCAUAUAAGAGACCCCUCCAAAUUAGAGGGACCCUCCCAUAUAAGAGACCCCCCCCCAAAAUUAGAGGGACCCCCCCUUGUACGAGGCCCCCCCCAUAUAAGAGGCCCCCCCCAAAUUAAAGGGAUCCCCCCCAAAUUGGAGGGACCCCCCCACAAAUUGAAGGAACCGACCCCAAAUUGAAGGGAUCCCACCCCGAACACGUAAAUGUCUGCACAUUGAAUGGGGGGGGGGGAGGUCAGAGACCCCCCCUCAAAUUAGGGACCCCCCCAUAGAAGAGGGACCCCCCCCAAAUUGAAGAGACCCCCCAAAUUGAAGGGACCCCCCCAUAUAAGAGACCCCCCCCAUAUAAAGACCCCUCCAAAUUAGAGGGCCCUCCAUAUAAGAGACCCCCCCCAAUUAAAGGGACCCCCCCAAAUUAAAGGGACCCCACCCCGACACGUAAAUGUCUGCACAUUAAAGGGGGGGGGGGGAGGUCAGAGACCCCCCCUCAAAUUAGGGACCCCCCCCCCAUAGAAGAGGGAUCCCCCCCAAAUUGAAGGGACCCCCCCCGAAUUGAAGGGAACCCCCCCAAAUAGGAGGGAUCCCCCCAAUAUAAGAGACCCCUCCAAAUUAGAGGGACCCCCCAUAUAAGAGCCCCCCCAUAUAAGAGACCCUCCAAAUUAGAGGGACCCUCCUAUAAGAGACCCCCCCAAUUAAAGGGACCCCCCCAAAUUAAAGGACCCCACCCGAACACGUAAAUGUCUGCACAUUGAAUGGGGGGGGGGGGGAGGUCAGAGACCCCCCUCAAAUUAGGGACCCCCCCAUUAAAGAGGGACCCCCCCCCAAAUGAAGGGACCCCCCCAAAUUGGAGGAACCCCCCCACAAAUUGAAGGAUCCCCCCAAAUUGGAGGGACCCCACCCGAACACGUAAAUGUCUGCACAUUAAAGGGGGGGGGGGGGGAGGUCAGAGACCCCCCCUCAAAUUAGGACCCCCCCCAUAGAAGAGGGACCCCCCCCCAAAUUGAAGAGACCCCCCAAAUUGAAGGGACCCCCCAUAUAAGAGACCCCCCCCAUAUAAGAGACCCCUCCAAAUUAGAGGGACCCCCACUUAUAAGAGACCCCCCCAAAUUAGAGGGACCCCCCCUUGUACGAGACCCCCCCAUAUAAGAGGCCCCCCCAAAUUAUAGAGACCCCCCCUCAAAUUGAAGGGAUCCCCCCAAAUUGGAGGAACCCCACCCCGAACACGUAAAUGUCUGCACAUUAAAGGGGGGGGGGGGGAGGUCAGAGACCCCCCCUCAAAUUAGGGCCCCCCCCCCAUAGAAGAGGGACCCCCCCCAAAUUGAAGGGACACCCCCAAAUUAGACGGACCCCCCCCAAAUUGAAGGGACCGACGCCAAAUUGAAGGGACCCCACCCCGAACACGUAAAUGUCUGCAAAUUAAAGGGGGGGGGGGGGAGGUCAGAGACCCCCCUCAAAUUGGGACCCCCCCCAUAGAAGAGGGACCCCCCCCAAAUUAAAGGGACCCCCCCCGAAUUGAAGGGAACCCCCCAAAUUAAAGGGACCCCCAAAUAAAGGGACCCCCCAUAUAAGAGACCCCCCCAUAUAAGAGACCCCUCCAAAUUAGAGGGACCCUCCCAUAUAAGAGACCCCCCCCCCAAAUUAGAGGGACCCCCCCCUUGUACGAGACCCCCCCCAUAUAAGAGGCCCCCCCAAAUUAUAGAGACCCCCCCAAUUAAAGGGACCCCCCCCAAAUUAUAGAGACCCCCCCCCAAAUUGAAGGGACCGACCCCAAAUUGAAGGGACCCACCCGAACACGUAAAUGUCUGCACAUUAAAGGGGGGGGGGGGGAAGUCAGAGACCCCCCCAAAUUAAAGGGACCGACCCCAAAUUGAAGGGACCCCACCCCGAACACGUAAAUGUCUGCACAUUCAAUGGGGGGGGGGGGAGGUCAGAGACCCCCCUCAAAUUAGGGACCCCCCCAUAGAAGAGGGACCCCCCCAAAUUGAAGAGACCCCCAAAUUGGAGGGACCCCCCAUAUAAGAGACCCCCCCAUAUAAGAGACCCCCCCCAAAUUAGAGGGACCCCCAUUCAGACCACCCCAGGACCCCCCAACCCCCCCCAGGACCCCCCCAAACCCCCCCAAACCCCAUUCAGCCCCCCCCAGCCCCCCAAAGACUCCCAGGACCCCCCAGAUCACAUUCAGACCACCCCAGGACC
rnacentral:lncRNA from 7 species